rnacentral:rRNA from 1 species
AUUGAACGCUGGCGGCAGGCCUAACACAUGCAAGUCGAACAAGUGGCGGACGGGUGAGUAAUGUCUGGGAAACUGCCUGAUGGAGGGGGAUAACUACUGGAAACGGUAGCUAAUACCGCAUACCAUCAGAUGUGCCCAGAUGGGAUUAGCUAGUUGGUGGGGUAACGGCGCACCAAGGCGACGAUCCCUAGCUGGUCUGAGAGGAUGACCAGCCACCCUGGGACUGAGCCACGGUCCAGACUACUACGGGAGGCAGCAGUGGGGAAUAUUGCACAAUGGUCGCAAGCCUGAUGCAGCCAUGCCGCGUGUAUGAAGAAGGCCAUCGGGUUGUACAGUACUUUCAGCGGGGAGGCGUUACCCUCAGAAGAAGCACCGGCUAACUCCGUGCCAGCAGCCGCGGUAAUAC